rnacentral:rRNA from 1 species
UACGUAGGGGGCAAGCGUUGUCCGGAUUUAUUGGGCGUAAAGAGCGUGUAGGCGGCCAAGCAGGUCAGCUGUGAAAACUCGAGGCUCAACCUCGAGACGCCGAUGGAAACCCUCAGACUAGAGUCCGGAAGAGGAGAGUGGAAUUCCUGGUGUAGCGGUGAAAUGCGCAGAUAUCAGGAAGAACACCCGUGGCUAAGGCGGCUCUCUAGUACGGUACUGACGCUGAGACGCGAAAGCGUGGGGAGCGAACAGG